AUGUCGCCAAAGCCACCGCUUGCGGAGCCCUCCGUAGCUGUGCAGGCCACCAGGCCAUCGACCUCACCGUCGAAGGAAUCGGAGCCCGCCGGCAUUAGGGGUGCAGCCGCCGUCGUCGCCACACAAGUUGCCGCCCACAAGAAGAAGGUUUUGUGGGUCGGCAACCUACCUGCGCACGCGGGCGAGGACGACGUUCUUCGUCCUUUGUCUGGCACAAGGCACUCGGCUGUGUCAUCAUGCGUGUCGGCUACCGCAGCUACGCCUUCAUCAUUUUCCUCUCCAUUAAUUGCCGAGUGUCGGACCACCCUCGAGGCGCUCCGCGGUCCAAGGUCAAGGGAGCCUUCAUCCUUAUUGAGUUCGCCCUGCCGAGUCUCGACGAAUGCGAUGGCAUGCUUCGACGGCCGCGUUGAUGCUUUCAAGUGUGCUUUCACGGCUGCAAUGAUGGCACCACGACACGAUUCUAACACUCGUGCGGUGCUCUGA
rnacentral:rRNA from 1 species